rnacentral:piRNA from 1 species
UACUGUUGCUUCAUGGGGUCAACAAUAA